GACGAGCUCCCCAAACGUUAUUCGGUAUCACUGGGCUUAAAGAGUUCGUAGGCGGCAAAGUAGGUGAGGUGUGAAAGCCCUCGGCUUAACCGAGGAACUGCGCUUCAAACCGCUUUGCUUGAGGGAGAUAGGGGUAAGCGGAACAGAUGGUGGAGCGGUGAAAUGCAUUGAUAUCAUCUGGAACACCGGUGGCGAAAGCGGCUUACUGGAUCUUUUCUGACGCUGAGGAACGAAAGCUAGGGUAGCGAAC
rnacentral:rRNA from 1 species